GCUGUUGGCAAGGGGUUCUCAGAACUGGGAGCCAAAUCAGAGAUGUUGUCAAUUAAGUUGCAAAAGGAGGCUCACCAACUUCUGAUGAAUUUCGAGGAACCCUUGAAAGAUUAUGUUCGUACAGUGCAAUCUAUUAAGGCCACCAUAGCCGAGAGAGCCAAUGCCUUCAGGCAGCAAUGUGAACUUGCCGAAACAACAAAGCUG
rnacentral:misc_RNA from 1 species